CCUACCCCGGCGGACGAACCUCACCUCACCCACACUUAGACGAUCCCGAUCCAGCCCUUUCCAGAAGACGUUUCCCCACCCAAAUUUUCAUCUGUUUUCUUUGAAAAGAAAAACAAUAAACUUGAUUUAUCUGA